rnacentral:ribozyme from 1 species
AAUUCGAAAAAAAAAAAAAAAAAAAAAAAAAAAAA